GCAUGAGUUUGGAUUUAUGGCAGGCCCGUCCCCCUGGGCCUCUCAGAGUUUCCCAUGCCAGAGCAAAGUGGCCCCAAACCAUUGCCUGGCCUCUGCCCGUAGGCUGCAGGCACUGAAGUGGGUUGCACAGUG